GGGUGACAGGUGGUGCAUGGUUGUCGUCAGCUCGUGUCGUGAGAUGUUGGGUUAAGUCCCGCAACGAGCGCAACCCUCGCCUCUAGUUGCCAGCAUUCGGUUGAGCACGUCUAGCGAGACUGCCCGGGUUAACGGGAGGAAGGUGGGGAUGACGUCAAAUCAUCAUGCCCCUUAUGUCUAGGGCUACACACGUGCUACAAUGGUGAGAACAAAGAGAGGCAAGACCGCGAGGUGGAGCAAAUCUCACAAAACUCAUCCCAGUUCGGAUUGCAGGCUGAAACUCGCCUGCAUGAAGCCGGAGUUGCUAGUAAUCGCGAAUCAGCAUGUCGCGGUGAAUACGUUCCCGGGCCUU
rnacentral:rRNA from 1 species